rnacentral:rRNA from 1 species
GACAUCCUACGGGACGCAGCAGUCGAGAAUCAUUCACAAUGGGGGAAACCCUGAUGGUGCGACGCCGCGUGGGGGAAUGAAGGGCUUCGGAUUGUAAGCCCCUGUCAUGUGGGAGCAAAUUAAAAAGAUAGUACCACAAGAGGAAGAGACGGCUAACUCUGUGCCAGCAGCCGCGGUAAUACAGAGGUCUCAAGCGUUGUUCGGAAUCACUGGGCGUAAAGCGUGCGUAGGCUGUUUCGUAAGUCGUGUGUGAAAGGCGCGGGCUCAACCCGCGGACGGCACAUGAUACUGCGAGACUAGAGGAA